GUGAAUCAUCAAAUCUUUGAACGCAUAUUGCACUCUCUGGUAUUCCGGAGAGUAUGCCUGUUUGAGGGUCAGCCUAAAAAAAAAUCGACAUAGUCGCUGUUCCGCGGUGACAUUCGCCGGAAAUUGGGACAUCUUAAACCUUUGGGUUUUAAGCGGAUUAAAAUUGUCAUUAAGAUUACACGAACGUUUAUAAGAUAUACUUGUUAUACGAG
rnacentral:misc_RNA from 1 species